CCACGUCAGCAGGUGAUCGAGCCGCUGACGGAUAGAGUUAACGUUCCAGGUGGCGAUCCGCAUGUCCGAUCCCGUUAGUUACGUGGGGCAUUAUUCCAAAGAAUCCCCGGUAUCCCGUACCACGGGCGGUGUGGCUGUGAUAAGCCGAAUACAAAUUAACGCUGGAAAACCAGCACUAUGGGGUUUGGAAACGGCGGCUGUCUGGCGUGCUCGCGCAGCCUGAAUCCUGAACCUGAGAGACGGCAUGAACGGAAAUUUUUUCAAACGGCGUACUUUGCUCAUUGCGGGC
rnacentral:misc_RNA from 1 species